rnacentral:tRNA from 1 species
GCCCUCGUAGCUCAGCAGGAUAGAGCAUCGGAUUUCUAAUCCGAGGGUCGCAGGUUCGAACCCUGCCGAGGGCGCCA